GAGUUUGAUCGUGGCUCAGAACGAACGCUGGCGGCAUGCCUAACACAUGCAAGUCGAACGCUCGUAGCAAUACGAGAGUGGCGGACGGGUGAGAAACGCGUGGGUACCUGCCCUGUAGUACGGAAUAACCGCGGGAAACUGCGGCUAAUACCGUAUACGCCCCAAGGGGAAAGAUUUAUCGCUAUAGGAGGGGCCCGCGUCGGAUUAGCUAGUUGGUGAGGUAACGGCCCACCAAGGCGAUGAUCCGUAGCUGGUCUGAGAGGACGACCAGCCACACUGGGACUGAGACACGGCCCAGACUCCUACGGGAGGCAGCAGUGGGGAAUAUUGGACAAUGGGGGAAACCCUGAUCCAGCAAUGCCGCGUGAGUGAAGAAGGCCUUAGGGUUGUAAAGCUCUUUCAGCGGGGAAGAUGAUGACGGUACCGCAGAAGAAGCCCCGGCUAACUCCGUGCCAGCCGCCGCGGUAAC
rnacentral:rRNA from 1 species